UUUUUAGACCUAUGCAAGGUGGCUUCUAGGCAACGCUUCAGGGUGGAAACACAGCAGAGCACUUGGAUUUUGCCUGUGCCGUAGGUAUCUAAAGAGGG
rnacentral:SRP_RNA from 2 species